rnacentral:rRNA from 1 species
AGUGAACGCUGGCGGUAGGCCUAACACAUGCAAGUCGAACGGCAGCACAGUAAGAGCUUGCUCUUACGGGUGGCGAGUGGCGGACGGGUGAGGAAUACAUCGGAAUCUACUUUUUCGUGGGGGAUAACGUAGGGAAACUUACGCUAAUACCGCAUACGACCUACGGGUGAAAGCAGGGGAUCUUCGGACCUUGCGCGAUUGAAUGAGCCGAUGUCGGAUUAGCUAGUUGGCGGGGUAAAGGCCCACCAAGGCGACGAUCCGUAGCUGGUCUGAGAGGAUGAGCAGGCACAAGGGAAGAGAGAAACAGGAGGGACACCGACGUGAGGCAGAAGGGGGGAAUAGUGGAGAAGGGGCGCAGGCGUGAAGAAGCCAUAUCGCGUGGAUGAAGAAGGGCGUAGUGUUGCACAGCUCUUUUGUGGGGAAAGAAAAGAAGAAGGCGAAUUCCCUGGUGUGCAGCCGGUACGAAAAGAAUAAGCAACGGCUGGAGUAGUG